rnacentral:lncRNA from 1 species
CUUUGUUGUCUAGCCGCUCUCUGUCUUGUUUUCCGUUGUUUGCAUCACAAAGCAUUCACCACAGAUACGGUGACUGCUCCUCUCAAACCGCUAUGCCAUCAACUGCGUGACUGAAAUAGUGACAUAGACUUAAAACAAUGUCAUCACAGUAUUGUGGCACUAAAAUCGUAAAGUCUUUCUUUAAAGUAACGCUGGGUCUUUUUCAGAUAAACAUGCCACGUCUGGGUAUGGUAUCUCAGGUCUACGGAGUUCGCAGUUAGAGGGGCCUAUGUGUAGACUGAGUGUCUCUAUGUGCAGGUUGGCUCAAUAGGCUGAAAUGCUGCGUCUAGAGUGCUGUUUCACGGGUUAAAGCUUCUAGAUACCACCUGCAUGCCUUUGUCUGUGGACCCUUCCUUCAACUGAAAGCAAGAAGUGUAGCAUCUUCAGAUAUUUCUGUUGCUCUCCUGCCUCCCUCUUUCACUUAUAAGGACCCUUGUGAUUCCAUUGGGCCCACCUGGAAAUCCACUUUGGCCAUGUAAGUGUCUAACAGUGGUAUUGGAGACUGCGCGGCUCCUGAGCGAGGCUCCGGUAACAUCGAAGCAGAGGAAGCUUUGACCCAUGGUCUGCUGCAAGCUCUUGGCCAGAAGAACCCGCCGUCAUCUUAUUGCUGUGUGGCUCCUGCCGUGUCGGAAAGGGCUGACGGGUCCUGGGGAACAUGCCUGGCAGUCUACUGCAGAGCAAUGGUGAAAAUAUGAAUCACUCCAUCUCCAGCACAACGUCUGGGAAGAAAGAAGGGGAAAAUGACUCACAGCCUGUUUGGAAUAUCAGGGGCCCAUAAGUGAGAAAUGAGGAGGGUCAGCACAGCAAAGUGUAUGUUUCUCACCGGGUGAAGGAUUUCCACGUAACAGGACUCACGGAAUGCAAAUGAAACUUGUACCUUAGAGAAGGGAACUUCUUUCUACUCCCCUAAACCUCUCAGUCGAAAACUUCAUUCUUCCAUUAAAAAAGAAUUGUGUUUUGUGAUUUAUAAAGUCUACUGCUUUUUCUUCAAGUUGAAUGUUAACGUUCUGCCUUGUGCCCUUAACUUAAUGGAUGUUCUCAAAACUGGCAGCUUUUCUUUCAUGCGGGAAGAAGGAAUAAUUCUGAAUUAAGAGCACUAAAAUAGGUUAAGGAUACAUUAUGUCAGAGGCUGUAGAUUGUUAACAAGCAAAGGAAGCACAAGUCAUAGGAUAUAAUACAAUUAAAGGCAACUGGGUAAGAUUGCCAGCCGUUCCAUCCCAAUGACUUCACCUGUUGAUGCCAGAGGUGACCCUUUCCAGUCUGUCUAAAAUUUGACAGGGUCCAAGGUGCUUUUCUAAUUUCUGAGUGAAUCACAAUUAGUGAGUAUAGUAGGUGCUGCGGGUGCCCCUCCUAUAUCUCAUUACCAGGCCCAUUUGCCCUUCUCCAGCUGUUGUGAGUUUUGGCUGCUAAUGAGCUACAGCUGCGCCCCCUCCAGAAAAUUGCUGAUGGCAGCUGUAUCUCCCAAGAGGUUAUGAUCCUCCAAUUAGGGGCAGCCAAUGAUUGAUGGAUAUGGGGCUACAAAUGGCUGGUCCCUUGCAUCAAAGGAGAGGUUCAUAAUUAAUUUUGUGGGAUGAUCCCAUGGAUCAGGUCAAGACUAGCCUUUAUAUGGGACCACAUCCUUGCUCAGCCCUUUCCUCUUCUGUCUCCUGCUUGUCAUACCCUCCCAUGAAGAGCUUUGCCUGAAGAGCACCCCUUCAAUAAACUUCAUGCACCAGAACUACUAUCUCAGGCUUGAUUCUAGGGUGUCCAGACCUACCACAGUCUGUUCUAUGGACCCUUCAUGAGCCAUUGUAACAGAAGAAGAAAAGUCCCUUCAGCUUAGUAGUGUUCUCUGUGCAGCCUUUAUGCAUCAGCCUACAUGGAAUAAGCAUGGUUGGCAAAGGAUCAAAGCCACAAAGCUGGUCCUGACCUAAUCAUGGGAGCCCUUUAAAGGCAGAGAGUUUUCUUUGGCUGCGUAGAGGUGGAGGAGGAGAACGGGGAAGAAGAGGAGGAGGAGGAGAUUGGAUGUGCCACUGCUGGCUUGAAGAUGAAGGGACUACAUGGGCAUGCUGGGACUGCAGGAGGGGGAGCAUGUCUGUCUGCUUUGUUCCUGUCUACCCAGUGAACCCAGUACCUCUCGCAGCUUUUGGCAUACAUUGCAGGUCCUUCUAGUUGUGGGAUGUGGGACGCCGCCUCAAUGUGGCCUGACGAGCGGUGCCAUGUCCUCGCCCAGGACCCGAACCCUGGGCCGCCACAGCAGAGCGCACAAACUUAACCACUCGGCCACGGAGCUGGCCCCCAAAUGGAGAUACCAGCAUUUGUUUGACCUAGUGCCUGUGUUCCUGAGAAGACACCUGGACAAUUUUGCAGGAAUUAUGUUCAGAGGCCAGUCUCCAUACCUACAAGUUUCACCCCACUUCCCAAAUCUCCACACUCCCCCACCUCCCAUGCUGAUUUGCCAUUUGCUCCUUUUUCCAGCCUGUGUGUCCAGGCAGGAUGUAUUGAUUUCUCUAACACGACACUGGGUUAUGACUCCUUUAACUUAAAGAGUUUGAGGCCGUCUUCUUGUGCCAUCUUUGAAUAAGCUGCUUCCAGUAUCCAUCUCUGUUGACAGCUUGCCCUUAUUAAACCAUGCCCCAAAGUGAACCCUACAGCUACCGACACUGGAUGAUGCCAAGGACUUAGGAGCCCUGUGGAGCUUUGUGGCCUCAGCAGACCUGAAUAAUAAUCUCUCUGUGGUUCCCCAAGAACCAUGAGCUUUUUUCUGAUCAUUGGUAUGACAAUUAUCAAAAUCAUUUACGAAGUGCAACUGUA